rnacentral:RNase_P_RNA from 1 species
AGGUAUUACCGUGAGGAAAGUCCGGGCAUCGCAGGGCAGGAUAACGGAUAACGUCCGCCGAGGGUAACCUCCGGGAAAGUGCAACAGAAAUAAACCGCCCUAUGGAACAGAUUCGGAAGCUUUCCGGCAUCAGGCUCAAAGCCGCUCCGGUUUCGCACUGUACGAAAUUCGAAGCGAGCCGCGGGUUCCCGAAUGCGGCUUCGCCGCAUUUGGGGUUCUAAGGCAAGGAUGGAAAGGCGAGGUAAGAGCUCACCGGCAUUGUGGCAACACCGUGCAAAUGUAAACCCUAUCCGAUGCAACACCGUAAGGAGAAGAUCUGCCCGAUCGCCGUAAGGAUCCUUUAGGUGGCACGGAGCUGUGCGGCGACGUACAGCCAAGACAGAUGAUCGUUUGAUACAGAACCCGGCUUACGAA